AAGUCGUAACAAGGUUUCCGUAGGUGAACCUGCGGAAGGAUCAUUCUUGUAUAACUAAACCACUUUCCAGUGGCAAACUUUGUGAACUAAAAUCUUAAACUGCAUCAGAGUUGGUGUGGCGGCAAUGGUGGCUUUGGUAGGGUAACCUCUCGCCAAGGUCAAGUAUGUUGCUACACCACAUGUUGCACAAUCAACACAUUGUAUAAACCUUGAAACUUACACUGUAAAUAAUAAAUUAAAUACAACUUUUAGCAACGGAUCUCUAGGCUCUC
rnacentral:misc_RNA from 1 species